UAGAUACCCUGGUAGUCCACGCCGUAAACGAUGAUAACUAGCUGCCAGGGCUCUUAGAGCUUUGGUGGCGCAGCUAACGCAUUAAGUUAUCCGCCUGGGGAGUACGGUCGCAAGAUUAAAACUCAAAGGAAUUGACGGGGGCCUGCACAAGCGGUGGAGCAUGUGGUUUAAUUCGAAGCAACGCGCAGAACCUUACCAGCGUUUGACAUCCUCAUCGCGGAUUCCAGAGAUGGAUUCCUUCAGUUCGGCU
rnacentral:rRNA from 1 species